AGUUUGAUCCUGGCUCAGGAUGAACGCUAGCGGCAGGCUUAACACAUGCAAGUCGAGGGGUAUCCUAGCAAUAGGAGAGACCGGCGCACGGGUGCGUAACGCGUAUGCAAUCUACCUUAUACAGGGGGAUAGCCCAGAGAAAUUUGGAUUAAUACCCCAUAGUAUAAUUGAAUGGCAUCAUUUAAUUAUUAAAGUUCCAACGGUAUAAGAUGAGCAUGCGUAUCAUUAGCUAGAUGGUAAGGUAACGGCUUACCAUGGCUACGAUGAUUAGGGGUCCUGAGAGGGAGAUCCCCCACACUGGUACUGAGACACGGACCAGACUCCUACGGGAGGCAGCAGUGAGGAAUAUUGGUCAAUGGGCGCAAGCCUGAACCAGCCAUGCCGCGUGCAGGAAGACGCAUCUAUGGUGUGUAAGCUGCUUUUAUACAGGAAGAAACCCUAUCUCGUGAGGUAGAUUGACGGUACUGUAGGAAUAAGGAUCGGCUAACUCCGUGCCAGCAGCCGCGGUAAUACGGAGGAUC
rnacentral:rRNA from 1 species